AUUGAACGCUGGCGGCAGGCCUAACACAUGCAAGUCGAACGAGUGGCGGACGGGUGAGUAGUGUCUGGGCAUCUGGCCGUUGGCGGGGGAUAACUACUGGAAAAGGUAACUAAUACCGCAUCCCAUCGGAUGUGCCCAUAUAGGAUUAGCUGGUAGGUGGGGUAACGGCUAACAUAGGCGACGAUCCCUAGCUGGUCUGAGAGGCUGACCAGCCACACUGGAACUGAGACACGGUCCAGACUCCUACGGGAGGCAGCAGUGGGGAAUAUUGCACAAUGGGCGCAAGCCUGAUGCAGCCAUGCCGCGUGUAUGAAGAAGGCCUUCGGGUUGUAAAGUACUUUCAGCGAGGAGGCGUGACUCGCAGAAGAAGCAUCGGCUAACUCCGUGCCAGCAGCCGCGGUAAUUC
rnacentral:rRNA from 1 species